CAUUAGAUGACUGAAAGUUAGUACUGGUCUCUUAAACCAUUUUAUAGUAGAUUCACGCCUACUUCUAAUG
rnacentral:tRNA from 1 species